rnacentral:rRNA from 1 species
UGCCAGCCGCCGCGGUAAUACAGAGAGUGCGAACGUUGUUCGGAAUUACUGGGCUUAAAGCGCACGUAGGCGGCGUAACAAGUGUCGGGUGAAAGCCCACGGCUUACCCGUGGAACUGCCCGGCAAACUGUUAUGCUAGAGUGUGGUAGGGGUGAAAUCCGUAGAUAUUCGGAGGAACACCAGUGGCGAAGGCGGCUUUCUGGACCGAUACUGACGCUGAGACGCGAAAGCGGUGGGGAGCAAACAGGAUUAGAUA